CCCUGAUUCAUUAAUAGCAUCAUACGUCCCGUAAGACACACACAAGAAGGCCUGACACUUUGUACAAAAUAAGAGAUUUCUGAACUCCACCGUCAAGCACUGGAAGAGUGGGAUGCUCUGACGCUCGGAUACACUGCUCCCGAUGCACGGACAUACUGUACCGCAGGACUUCUCGACACUGUUUGACAUCUUCGCUGUACCUUUGCAUUUAAAUCAGAUACUUUCAGAACAUGUUAGGUGUGAAUGCACCUUAAGCCUGAUUGUGACUCCAUGGUUUCUUAUGGUCUUUCUGUGAAAAGAUUCUGGAUUCUUGCCUACCCCUUGGAUCCCUCUGCCUGGCUCUGUUCUGUCUGCUCUGACCCAUUUUCUGUCUCCUUGAAAAAUGGGCACUAUCUCCCCCCUGGAAAGCUAAAACUGAGAAGUACCAUUACUCUGUUUAUCUGUCUCAAUCAGGCAUCACUAAACCCUGUUUUGGAGUGAUCCAAACCUGCAGUGAUGUCAAGCAAAACCAAAUGCCGCUCUGAUAUCUGCUGAGGAACCGAGAACAUCUCCCUUCCCCUCAACACGGAUCCUGAGAAGGUUCCAUCUGUGGGACCCUAACAAUCAUCGGAAAAAGCCAUAUAUCCGGAGAGCUGCACCCCCUCAGUAUCUCCUCAUCCCAAACCUUGAAGCAAGUCUCCCCAGAUCAUCCAAUAAUCACUUCCUGCCCACCCAGCACUUCUCAUAUCUUUAUCCUGGUGUAAUGUAGAAUAAGGUGCAGCUUGUGCCAGACCGGUCUAUAUAAUGGGCUGUGAUCUGUUUGAUUUUUGAGGGGGGCUGUUGGUAUGUAUACUGUAUAUGUGAUUAUGUUUGUGUGUGUGGCUCCAUGAUAGAGCAAGCAUCUUUAUGACUUUUUAUCCAGGGGUAUGGAUAAAUACAUGGGGUUGACUGCCUUUACAGUUUAAGUGGAAAAAAUCAGUUUUUAAUUGUUCUGGAUGUAAUGCAGUUUAAAAGUUGUUUGUGAUGGAACAGCUGGGGAAAGUAUGUUCCCUGGUUAGCUGAGAUCUGUGACAAUGUUUCUGGGCCUUUUCUGGAAUCAUGCAUCAUAAACCGAGGGCAGAUUUCUUUCAUAGUAUCUCACAAUUCCUGGUGCUUCCCUCAGCACCUGUCCUUCUUAUUCUGUGAAGGGCAGCUCCCCUACAACACUGUCACACUUGUAAAAAGAAUGUUUCAAUGGGGGCCCUGUAGAAGUUUGUGCAGGGAUAAAAAGAGAGACUAGUCCAUUUAAGCUUUCCAAAAAAUAAGAGCUGUUGUUUUGCUUUCUUCAUCAGGUAAAAGGUCCAGGAGAGUUCAAAAGAGGAAGUCAAUGUAAAUGUUACUAUAAUUAUGCUUUCCAGAUGCUCCACUGCUUUCCUAUAUAUCUAGAGAGAAGCAUAGGUUAGGUUUUCAUGUCCAGUCUUGCCUAAAUGAGCCUUUUUAGGUGAUUUGUAGUUCAGAUGUCACUGUCAUUACAUAAAGCCUUGCUGAAGUGCAAAAACAAGAUGUGCAACAAAACUACAAAUUAGGUUUUACUGAAUUUACAUACAUACAAAGUUCUCCUUAAGAUGGGGUUUCCAAAUAUUUAUAUUGUGUACAUUUUUGGCCAGUAGGUCAGAAAAAACAUUCUGUUCCAUCUCUACCUACCACAAUCGAUCUAAAUUAUUGUAAUCUUGUGUUAUUUUUACACUUUAUUGGCUGUAAUGGUCAGACAGUUGAAGCCUCUUCCCACACCUUUCUGUUUUUUGCUAAGUCUAAAUGCCAGAAAAAACAAGGCAUCCAUUUCAGUGCUGUCCAAAGCCUUUACACUUUGAUUCACCAGAACAAAGUUCUCCAUAAACAAAAAAAGAACAGCUUCAGAUGCUCUGUAGCACAUAACUUUAAUUUCAAAUUGCUGUUCAACGGAGGAGAAAUUAUAAAAAAGAAAAAAAAAACACAAUAGUUUGAGUUCAAAGUUGCCCAAUUAUGAUUUUGAAAGUUCCUGUGACUCAGAACAAUGAAACAGCUGCAAACUUCUCUGUGGAUGAUGAGAAAACACAGGGAUAACAGAAAACAUGUGCAAACGUUCAUGCUCUCAGAUUUUACUCAUGUAGAGAUUUUACUCCGGAAGACCCUUUUUGUCAGUUCCCUCUGUCAGAACUCCUCUGCUCUAUGUGGAGAGAGAAGCUUCAAUAUGGAAGACCGAUGGGGCUUAAGGUAAUCUGGAAAUAAAAUUGACAAAACUGUCUUAAGAUUUAUUUGCUAAGCUUGUAGCAUAUGUUUUCAGGAGAAAACUUGAGGCUAUAAUUAAAAUUUCUGCCAAAUGUGCAACAAUAAAAUAUAAAACAAAGGCUGCAAAUAGUGACAUAAAUGUGACUACUUAGUUUUUUCAAUUUUGAAAUAAAUUAGCAACAGUCUCAUAAAUAUAUUUUCAUACCCUGUUAAAAAAAGGCAUGUGCAUUAAACCAAGUCAUUGGAGUCUCAAAAAUAGGAAAACUAAAGUAGUGUCUGCAUUCUAUGUAUGUGUGAAUUUUGGGUGCCUUUGUAAAUCUUCUAUGUGUUAUGGUUCUCCCCUUUGGACCUCUUUUUGAGUUUCCUUAUAAAAAUUUUAGUUAUUUAUGUCAUUCUGUUUUCUGUUUUGUGUCAUUGUAGUUGUUUUCUAGUUAUAUUUAAGCAAAGUUUUUUUUGUGUUCCUCUCUGUUGUCUCCCCUUGUGCCAGUCUCCUUUCUCCUAGUUUCUAAUUGCUUCUAUCCACACCUGCUCCCUGUCAGCUGAUUACCACAGUCUUUGUUCUGCCUCCCAAAUAUAUACACCUCCUGUGCAGUUCCUCAGUGAUGGUUUCUUGUCAUUACUUGGCCCCUAAUGUGUGUUUCCCCUGGCCUUUCUGGGUUUUUGGUUUCCUGUGUUUUGUUCUUGGUUUUUAUUUCUGUUGUAUUUUUGAUAAAAUCAGUAAAAACUCAUCUUGGCCUCCUUCUACUCUGCGUUUGGGUCCACAAUCACAUCCAUCAUCUUUGACACUAUGGCUACGUUCACACUGCAGGUCUUGAUGCUCAAUUCCAUUUUUUUUUUGCGUUGCUAUUCACAUUUCCAAAUAUAUGCGACUUUUAUGUGAUCUCCUGUGUGAACUGCAUUCAUACAACCUAAGUGUCCCGCAUGCGGAGUAGAGGAUGCAAUAAGGUCACAAGCAAGCGUGCUCUGUGUUUACCGAAGUAAACAUGGUUGGUAGUGCCGGAGCGCAUCUAGCAUCUUUCCCAACCUUAAAAACUAUAUCUUUCAGUAAUGGUUAAACAUAAUUACUACUCUCCGCAUUAUUGUCCACCAUUGUUGUUGCAUUUCUUGCCACUUCUGCGUAGCAAGAGGCAGAAGAGUGACCACUGUCGGGUAUUACUGACAGCCAGGUCGGAUGAAUGCGACACAGGUCUCAUUUGAAAAGAUCAGAUUAAGGACCACAUAGCCAUGCAGCCUGGGUCGCAUUGGAAAAAAAUCGGAUCUGUGUUGUUUAGACUGCCAUGCA